rnacentral:lncRNA from 1 species
CCCGUCCUGAAGACCACAGCCUCUUAAAGAGCCAAGUCUAUUCGAGCCACUUCUCCAGAAUGAGACUGCUCACAAACCUUUGUUCUUGAAAACUACCAGAUCUCUGCCCUCUGGAACCAGCGUGGAGAUGGCACAGACAAGCCCUUUAUUCCCAUAAGACCCAGUAUCUCCCUCCAAAUAUGAAGACCAGUGAAACAAACACAGCCAGUCAUCCCAAUACAUAACCCAACAGACAAUCUGCUAAUGAAAUGGGAAAUAUGUAAUAACUGUGCUGUUUGUGCUUCUAUCUCUGAAGUGAGUUUAAUUCAACUCUACAUUGUGAAUAGGUAUUUAUGCUAUAGGAAGGACUCAGAGAUGGGAACAGAGAUAUUAGCGAGUCACUCUAUGCUCAGAACCCAUUUUUUCCUUUCUUUAUUGGCCAUGCCUAGUACAGUUCCCUGUCCUUCCAGUUCUGGCUCUUUAGUGAUCUAGGAUUUCCCCUUCCCCGGUUUCUUUGUCAAUGCCCUUACUCGCAGGCGCAGCAUCUUUUGGAAUUGUAACAGCUUCUAUCACAGGGUGCUUCUUUCUGGUGUUCGUGUGUGGACACCUAUACCUCCCAUGCCUACUGAGGUGGCAUGGAAUUUGGCGAUGGGGUCUUGAGGGAAGUAAUGAAGGUAAAAUGGGGCCACAUAGAUGGUCCCCAGGUUACUGUCCUUAUAGGAAGAUGCAGUUGGGACCUAGAUACCUACAAAACAAAAACUGUGAGGCAGGGGGAGAGGUGGAUGAGAGAGGCUGCUGUCUGCAGACCUAGAAGAGAGGUCUGUCCUACCUCACUCCCACUGGCAUCCAGCUUUCAGAAUUGUGAGGAAAUAGUUUUGAGAGGCUGGGUACAUAGGUCAGUGGUAAAGCUCUCAUCUGGCUUGUGCAGGUCCCUAAGGUCUAUCCCUAGCACCAAAAU